rnacentral:rRNA from 1 species
GAUGAACGCUGGCGGCGUGCUUAACACAUGCAAGUCGAACGGAAAGGCCCAAGCUUGCUUGGGUACUCGAGUGGCGAACGGGUGAGUAACACGUGGGUGAUCUGCCCUGCACUUCGGGAUAAGCCUGGGAAACUGGGUCUAAUACCGGAUAGGACCACUUCUUGGAUGUUGUGGUGGAAAGUUUUUUCGGUGUGGGAUGAGCUCGCGGCCUAUCAGCUUGUUGGUGGGGUAAUGGCCUACCAAGGCGUCGACGGGUAGCCGGCCUGGGAGGGUGUACGGCCACAUUGGGACUGAGAUACGGCCCAGACUCCUACGGGAGGCAGCAGUGGGGAAUAUUGCACAAGGGGCGCAAGCCUGAUGCAGCGACGCCGCGUGGGGGAUGACGGCCUUCGGGUUGUAAACUCCUUUCGCUAGGGACGAAGCGUUUUGUGACGGUACCUGGAGAAGAAGCACCGGCUAACUACGUG